GGAAUAUUGCACAAUGGGCGAAAGCCUGAUGCAGCAACGCCGCGUGAAGGAAAAAGGCCCUUGGGUCGUAAACUUCUGUUCUAAGGGAAGAUAAUGCCGGUACCUUAGGAGCAAGUCCCGGCUAACUACGUGCCAGCAGCCGCGGUAAUACGUAGGGGGCGAGCGUUAUCCGGAAUUAUUGGGCGUAAAGAGUACGUAGGUGGUUUCCUAAGCGAGGGGUUUAAGGCACUGGCUUAACCAAUGUUCGCCCCCCGAACUGGGGAACUUGAGUGCUGGAGAGGAAAGCGGAAUUCCUAGUGUAGCGGUGAAAUGCGUAGAUAUUAGGAGGAACACCAGUGGCGAAGGCGGCUUUCUGGACAGUAACUGACACUGAGGUACGAAAGUGUGGGGAGCAAACA
rnacentral:rRNA from 1 species